UAUCAAAGAUUAGUGCCCACUCCUUUUUGCAGGGCAGGUUUCAUCUAAACAUUGUUUUAGUAAAAAUUUACAGUAAAAAUUGGGCCUUUACAAGGACCAUAAGAGCUGUAAGUCAUAAAAACUAGCCACUUUACCCAACAUGGAUGUUUUCAUCAUAAACAAAUUAAUAAUGAAAGUGAAUAUGUUCACAGACAUGUGUGAGGCACCGUGCUCUCUCUGUGAAUGUAGUCUGCAUGCUUUUUCAUUUUGUGUGGCUUUCCUCCAGGUACUCUAGUUUUCUCCUGAAGUCCUGAAGUCCAAAGAUAUACAGCCAGAGUAACUGCCAUUUCUAUAUUGCCCAUACUGUGCAUGAUGGACUGGCAUUCCAUCCAGGGUUUAAGUGUCCUAUGCUGCCUGAGGUGGACUCUGGGGUAGACCUAUAUCUAUGUUUAUAUAUAUGUAUUGGCCAAUGCUGUUUGUAGGAUACCUUGAAAGUAAAUACAGACCGUUAGGAAAAUGUGUCGUCCAUGCUGUUAAUUCUGAGUCUGCAGGUCUUUCCAAUAAUUCUAAAUGAUAAAAUGGCACGUUGCACACGAUGCCUCGCAGUCAAAGUGAUGCUUCCACCGUUUGAAGCACCAAUAGCUACUGACCAAACACCUAAUGGCUAGCGGCCAUUUAAAUUCACACAUUUAUGACUGACAGGUCCUUUAUCAAAAAGAAAAACGAUGCCACCGUAUUCUUAGCCACUUAGCGAUUUUCCACACUACGGGAGUGCCUGGUGAACACUUACUUAUUAAGCUGGUUUUCACAGGAGAUUCGUUAUUAAUUACACUAAUGGAUAUUCUAAUUGCGGUGGUACACACGCACUCGUUUCAUGGAGAGUAAAAUGAACCCACUAAUGCCUUAAUAACAUUCAUCCGACGAUAAAUAAUGGAGACUACCCAGCGAAGUCAAUUAAGGGCAUAUAUACUGUAUAUAAAAGGAGCGACUUGUCCGCUGGCACUAUGCUCAGAAAUUAGACAGCAUAAACACUCUUCACAAAGUACAGCUCGGCUUUCAAAUGGCAGCCCGUAUCUUUAAAGUCCGAGACUUGCCACACGUCAAGCAUCCUUAAUUGUACUUCUUUUCUAUGUCUAAUUUUUAUUGGGGGGCACUGUGGGACUGUGCCUGAGAUAGGAAGGUCACUGGUUCAAUUCCCAUCCUCCACAGAAUAUUCACAGCUCUGUUGGGCCACUGACUAAGGUACAUAUCCCCCACCCCCAAAAUGCUCCAGGGCCACCUGAGAAAUGGACGACGCUGCGCUUAACUGUAUGGAUGUGUGUGUAUGUCUCAAAGAAUUAAUAUGUGAAAAGACUCUAUUCCCAUGUACCUGCACUUCUGCAAAUGUCAAAUGAGGCAUUGCUUCAUUAUCGGUUAGAUGUCAUAACUGGCACUUUGCAUGUGUUGCAGUAAAUCAGCUGUGUGAAUGUCCCUGCUGCCCUCCCGUCCUCCCCCACUGAUCUCCCCUUCAUCCAGAUACGGCACAUAUGACACAAAUAACGGUCCACAUCACUGGGAGGCAGAGGAGAUGCUGAGAAGCUUUUGACAAGGCGAGUGGCCCCGGACAUUCCUGUCUGCUAACACAUGUGGGGUGCUGCUUGUCUGCUGCCGGGGCUGUUGAACCUUAUACAUGCCAGUGCCCUACGGCUGCCCCUCCUCCAGUCUCCUUUGGAGUGGCGCUAACCAAAAGAUCCUGUGCUGAGCUGCGGCGUGGAUCCGUAGACAUGUCCAGCUGGAAGUCUGCUAUUGUCUGCUGUUAGAAUGCUCCUGCUACAGCCUCUGAGUGAUAGAUCUUCAUCUGUUUGUGGUUUCGCCUUAUGUUUUGCAAAAGCAUUUUUGUAUUAAUUCAACUUUAAAAAUAAGGGAUGAAAUAGGCAUAUAAUUAUGCAUGCAUCACUCAAUCAAAUGACAAGUUGUCAUGGUCGGAAUGGGUUUAACAAAUAUGUGAAAGAGAGUCCAAACACUAUCUCGGUUACAUAUAGUUUGGAAAGAUCCGAAAUGGUCUUGAGGUAUUAAUGGUAUCACGUUAAAGUAUUUGUGCUGGCAUUCUGUUACUCAAGCUGUCAAUGACAAAGUGUCUUCUUGACAGGAUGGUUAUGGGUAUUGAUCCUUUCUCCCAAGCCAUUUAUCUGUAUGCAUUUAUUCCCUCUUUUUUGUUUUUGCGACGAUAUGAGUUGUACCUCUUCUUGAGAGGGAUGCUUCCUUUGCAUGUCCCCUGGAGCCAGGCUGACACUCGAGACCUCCAGACGGCCUUCACUCUCCAGUGGACUGCCCUGUUUGUCUUGGAUCUUCUUGGGAUCAUCCACUGGCACCAAAAUGUGACUCCCUCCGUCGUUCGGCUGCGGACACGGAGAGCCAUUUGAAAAGUCCUGUGAAUGAGACCCCUUUCCUCUCGCCCCGGUGUCUCAAAUGACCCACAGAAGUCAGGCCUAAUGAGCUGUGCGGGAUGGGAAUAGGUCUGAUGUGAUGAGGGAGACACACUGCUAUACUUUUCAAACAGGGGGGGUCCACAUGAUGGAGGGGGGGGGGGGCUUUCAAUUUUUUUUUUCCCCCCACAAAAAACGUUUCAUACCAUUAAAUCACAGCCCUAACUGACUAUCUGAAAAUCCAAGUUCAUAAAGUUACAGUACAGAAAAUUACCCCUUUUUUAAGUCCAUCUUUGUCAUGCUAUAGGAAUGAGUGAAACAGACCCUUGCUAAUUGAAUUCUUUUUUUCCCUGUUUAAACCAUAUUAAAAACACAUCUGUUAACAAGUGGUACAGCGAUAAGUUACGCGAUUUCUCACUCAGGUCCAGCUGUGUUUCAACACAACCUGCUCUGAUGAAGUCUUCAAACAGCGUUACUUAGAAAAGCGCAGGCCAUCUGGUAUUUCUAGCUCUUUGUACUGUUCUGUACAUUUCUCACACAUAUCAGAAAAUGUGUUUAAGCAGCCAAAUAAUUAAAAUAUUACUCUUUCAA